GGCUGGUUCAAAGGCAGUGAAUUAUAGCAAGUGAUCGUUCACAGUCAGUUACAGAUUAAACUCCUUGCUCUCCUCUUCCCCCCUUAUCAGUACUAUACCUCACUAGUCUUUA
ensembl:misc_RNA Y_RNA Y RNA